GUUUCCGUAGGUGAACCUGCGGAAGGAUCAUUGUCGAGGCCCCCGGACGACCAGCGAACUUGUUCUUCACGCACGCCCCGGCGCAGGCGGCGCGCACCCGCGGCCCUCCCUUUCGGGGGCGGCGGGCGUGCCGGCGGCGCCGACAACUAACCCCGGCGCGGGACGCGCCAAGGAGAACCCCAACGAGACGAGACGGCACGCCCCCGGCGCCCGUUCGCGGGCGACGCGGGGCGGCGGCCUCUUUCGCGAAUAGAAACGACUCUCGGCAACGGAUAUCUCGGCUCUCGCAUCGAUGAAGAACGUAGCGAAAUGCGAUACUUGGUGUGAAUUGCAGAAUCCCGUGAACCAUCGAGUCUUUGAACGCAAGUUGCGCCCGAAGCCCCUCAAAAGGCCGAGGGCAGCUCUGCGUGGGCGUCUCACAACGAGUCGCCCCCCCAAACCCCGCGCGCGGGCGUCGGGGGGCGGACGGUGGCCCCCCGUGAGCGGCAGCUCGCGGCCGCCCUAAAAACCGAGUCGCCGGCGACGGAGGGCGCGGCGAGUGGUGGAAGCAUUAUUGGCACGCGCCUGCGUCGUGCCGCGCCGUCGCACCGGGCGGUCUCGCGCGACCCCAAAGCACCGACCGCGACCCCAGGUCAGGCGGGAUCACCCGCUGAGUUUAAGCAUA
rnacentral:rRNA from 1 species